AAAAUAGCUGAUCGGGAACCUUGCACGAGAGAGAAAACAACUAUUGUAUUUGAAAAUAUGAGAUAGCGUAAAAAAUAAUACACGAGCUCGGGCCCUAUUUAUAGAUUUACAAGCAGAGGGGUAAAAUAGUAAAAACAUCUUCGGUGCAUGCGUCCUGCGUGGUGGAAGGGUACGCUGGUAAUUUCGAUAAUACGCGGGAGACCUUCCCGCGCGUUUAUUGGCUCCUCUGAUGGAAAUGUCUUCUCUGGCGAAGGCGUCUUCUCUGGUGAUGUUGACAUCUCUGGCAUGAAGGACUCCUCUGGUAAACACGUCUUCUCUGGCAAGGGCGUCU
rnacentral:lncRNA from 1 species